UGCAGGGCGGCCGCAGGAGGGAGCGGCCGGGAGCGCUGCCCUGGAACGGGGCCCUGUUCCCGGGCCGGCGCCGCCCGUUCCGCGCUCGCUCCGGGGGGCGCUGGGAGCCCGAGGGGGCCCGGAAACGGAAACGCUCCCGGAGC